rnacentral:piRNA from 1 species
GGCUUCGUGUGUGACUGAUGAGGAAUC